rnacentral:rRNA from 1 species
AGUGAACGCUGGCGGUAGGCCUAACACAUGCGAGUCGAACGGCAGCACAGUAAGAGCUUGCUCUUACGGGUGGCGAGUGGCGGACGGGUGCGGAAUACAUCGGAAUCUACUUUUUCGUGGGGGAUAACGUAGGGAAACUUACGCUAAUACCGCAUACGACCUACGGGUGAAAGUAGGGGAUCUUCGGACCUUGCGCGAUUGAAUGAGCCGAGGUCGGCUUAGCUAGUUGGCGGGGUAAAGGCCCACCAAGGCGACGAUCCGUAGCUGGUCUGAGAGGAUGAUCAGACACACUGGAACCGAGGCACGUUCCAGACUCCUGCGGGAGGCAGCAGUGGGGAAUAUUGGACGAUGGGCGCAAGCCUGAUCCAGCCAUACCGCGUGGGUGAAGAAGGCCUUCGGGUUGUAAAGCCCUUUUGUUGGGAAAGAAAAGCAGCAGGUUAAUACCCCGCUGUUCUGACGGUACCCAAAGAAUAAGCACCGGCUAACUUCGUG